AUACGGAGGGUGCAAGCGUUAUUCGGAAUCACUGGGCGUAAAGGACGCGUAGGCGGGUUGGCAAGUCAGAUGUGAAAUCCUACAGCUUAACUGUAGAACUGCAUUUGAAACUGCUAACCUAGAGUAUGGGAGGGGGAGAUGGAAUUAGUGGUGUAGGGGUAAAAUCCGUAGAUAUCACUAGGAAUACCGAAAGCGAAGGCGAUUUCCUGGAACAUAACUGACGCUAAGGCGUGAAAGCGUGGGGAGCAAACAGGAUUAGAAACCCAGUAGUCC
rnacentral:rRNA from 1 species